CUCUGUAGACCAGGCCGGCCUUAAACUCAGACAAUCCAUCUGCCUCUGCCUCUGAGUGCUGGGACUAAAGUGUGCACUACCACCGCCCUGUUCUGGGUUAUGUUCUUUUAUUUCUAUGGUUUCUGCAGUCCUGGGGACUGAGCCCUGAGGCCCAGCACAUGCUGUGCAAGCGCUCCCUUGAACAUUUUGUGUGAGCAUUUCUCUGUGUAGCUUCCCUAGGCCUCUUUUCACUUUUAUUCUGAGAUAAGAUCUCACUAAAUUAAACAGGCUGGUUUGUACUUACUCUGUAGCCCUGGCAGGCUUCGAACUCGGAAUUCUCCUACCUCUGCUUCCUGGGGGGCCAAACUCACAACACUGAACCACCAGACCAGGCUUCAUUUUUCUUUCCAACUUGAAGUUGAAAUCAAUUGAUACUUGCUGUUGGCAUGCUUCCAAAAUUCAGGCUACUUCUUUUAGCAUUUGUUCUUUUAGGUUGUGGAGGGGGUUUUUGUUUUGUUUUUUAUAUUUAUUUAUGUAUUUGAUGUUUAGGGAGAGCAUGUGCCAUGACACACAGGUAAAAUGUCAUACAGCAUGUGCCAUGACACACAGGUAAAAUGUCAUACAGCAUGUGCCAUGACGUACAGGUAAAAUGUCAUACAGCAUGUGCCAUGA